UCGUGUGUGAAGGAGUGGUUUUACUGAAACAGUGGAAACAAGGAAACACUUGAUUUAGUAAAACCAUAAA
rfam:Marine metagenome ctg_1101667545738, whole genome shotgun sequence.